rnacentral:rRNA from 1 species
GACGAACGCUGGCGGCGUGCUUAACACAUGCAAGUCGAACGGAAAGGCCCUGCUUUUGUGGGGUGCUCGAGUGGCGAACGGGUGAGUAACACGUGAGUAACCUGCCCUUGCCUUCGGCCUAACUUCAGCCCCCUCGGGCUAACACCGCAUAGCAGCUCCCCCCGCCUGGUGGGGGUUGGAACGUUUCGGCGGUUGGGGAUGGACUCGCGGCCUAUCAGCCUGUUGGUGGGGUAGUGGCUUACCAAGGCUUUGACGGGUAGCCGGCCUGAGAGGGUGACCGGCCACAUUGGGACUGAGAUACGGCCCAGACUCCUACGGGAGGCAGCAGUGGGGAAUAUUGCACAAUGGGCGGAAGCCUGAUGCAGCAACGCCGCGUGCGGGAUGACGGCCUUCGGGUUGUAAACCGCUUUCGCCUGUGACGAAGCGUGAGUGACGGUAAUGGGUAAAGAAGCACCGGCUAACUACGUG